UUGAUCCAGAGCAGAUUUUCUCUUCUGAAUACUCUGAGCUUGUAGACUAGAUCAUAUGCCAACUCUGAUCCCCUGUGAUUGGCGUCCGCCUUUUAGAGGAUUUGCUGAUCAUCAGAACAAUUUUGCAAUGUGUAUACAUGAGAGGAACUGUAAAAAAAAAUACACUCCAUUGAGAAACAAGCAUGGUUAUUCGCCCACUUCCAGUUCUUGGUUCCAUUGUUUAUGCAAUUAUGCACGCAUUCAUUGCAUUGAUACAAUCACCUAUGCUUGGGGUGGUUCAUUCAAAAUAAUCUUUAAGACCUGGCUCAGAAUAUGCUUCUCAUUGUGGAGUAUUAUAGAGGUAGUUAGGACAGACUAUUUAAAAUGUUCUGCUACUUGACGGAUAUGUUAUUCAGAUGCUAUGUGUCACAGCAGAAACAAGCAGAAGAUCCUUAUAUAGUGGAUCUUGCUGCCAUAUCUCAAACAAGCCAGCUCCAACACAUGAGCUUGAGCAAGUAAGCAGCAUGAAUUGUACAUAAUGAAACGUGUACUGUAUUUAACAACUACACAAAAACUAGAUGACACAUUUGUCACCAAUAAUACUUGGCUAGCUCUGCACUAAAAUAAUCUGUAAGCAUGCAACUAUGUCAAAUCCACCAAUAGAGUGAACUAACCUGCCAGUUCUUGUCGGCAAUAGUUGGAGAAUGAUAACGUGAUAAUUCAUUGGGAGGAGAGUUCGCGGCAGUGCCUCUAAAAACUGAGCUGUGCAUGAG
rnacentral:lncRNA from 1 species